AAUGAUUUAAUUUCAUAAAAAAUAUCAAUAUGCAUAAAAGUUAACAAAACAAUCACUACAACAAAGUUAUCAACAAGUAUGCUGUCAUUACAUAUAUCUACAUACAUGUACAUAUAUUUGAUGGAACAAUUUAAAACAUUUUUUUUUUAAACAAAGCAAUGCAAAGGAAUACUGAAUAAAAUAUAAUCAUCAUGAAAUAUCAUGACUCAAGACCAGUUUUUAAGAAACUGAUGCCUGUUUUGGACACCUGUGACCUUGAAAGAAGGUCAAGGUAAUCUACAUGAUGAAACUUUAAAGUAUUUAUCCCAGACAGACUUAUGACAGACACUUCACUAUACCAUAAGAUUAUGACAGUUUGUACCAGAGGAGCUUAAAAGUGUAUCUGAAGUUCAUGAACCAUGAUAUUUGUCUUUCCUUCAUUCUGACUGUAU